rnacentral:lncRNA from 1 species
CGCACAAAACGUGCAGUCCAUCCAGUCGGUGCCACUGGAAAAGGAACGGGAUUUUUUAGAUUUUGUGCUCCCUUCUUUUGGGCACUACGACGAGGUGCUGAGGAGAAAAAUACAAAUAAAUGGCGCUGUGCGCCGUGCCAUAGUUGACAAGCUCUUUGGCGCAUACAUCAAGAUCGCAUGGAAUCAUGGGUGAUGGCCCUGAGGAACAAGUUCCAACAACACAAGAAAAAAGCUACAAAACUGUUCGGAGGAAAUGCUAAUUCGAAAGAAACGCUGUCUGCCAAAGCAAAUGCAGGCACCAUCUGAAGAAGUGGCAAACAACAAAUUGUGCCGUCUUUUUGACUGCAGCCAUCUUACUACAUAUGGAGAAACCGUUGAGUCCUUGCAAAUUCAUAACGAAAGGCUCCAGAAUAAUGCAGCCUGCCACGAUGAAGCUACAGGAAGGCCAAGGUUGCGGGCAACAGCACUGGACAGGCAUAGGAGCUUCGCAGCCUCACCCUGUCGGAUGCUCUUUUACUGUUUCCAUUUCUUGGAACUGAGGCAUUGGAACAAGCCCUGCUCACACCUUGCCUUGUGGAGAAAGAAGGACUUACUCUACACAUUGACGGGGAGCCCGUUUUGAGUGUGCCAUCACUUCUUGCAGGAAUGGCGUGCCUGUUUGCAUCGUUUUGGGUAUUCCAUGUGGAAUACCCAAAAAAAAGGCACACAAAAUGCUCACAUUCCUUGAGCACGCGUUCCUACAC